rnacentral:rRNA from 1 species
GAUGAACGCUGGCGGCGUGCCUAAUACAUGCAAGUCGAGCGAACGGACGAGAAGCUUGCUUCUCUGAUGUUAGCGGCGGACGGGUGAGUAACACGUGGAUAACCUACCUAUAAGACUGGGAUAACUUCGGGAAACCGGAGCUAAUACCGGAUAAUAUUUUGAACCGCAUGGUUCAAAAGUGAAAGACGGUCUUGCUGUCACUUAUAGAUGGAUCCGCGCUGCAUUAGCUAGUUGGUAAGGUAACGGCUUACCAAGGCAACGAUGCAUAGCCGACCUGAGAGGGUGAUCGGCCACACUGGAACUGAGACACGGUCCAGACUCCUACGGGAGGCAGCAGUAGGGAAUCUUCCGCAAUGGGCGAAAGCCUGACGGAGCAACGCCGCGUGAGUGAUGAAGGUCUUCGGAUCGUAAAACUCUGUUAUUAGGGAAGAACAUAUGUGUAAGUAACUGUGCACAUCUUGACGGUACCUAAUCAGAAAGCCACGGCUAACUACGUGCCAGCAGCCGCGGUAAUACGUAGGUGGCAAGCGUUAUCCGGAAUUAUUGGGCGUGAAGCGCGCGUAGGCGGUUUUUUAAGUCUGAUGUGAAAGCCCACGGCUCAACCGUGGAGGGUCAUUGGAAACUGGAAAACUUGAGUGCAGAAGAGGAAAGUGGAAUUCCAUGUGUAGCGGUGAAAUGCGCAGAGAUAUGGAGGAACACCAGUGGCGAAGGCGACUUUCUGGUCUGUAACUGACGCUGAUGUGCGAAAGCGUGGGGAUCAAACAGGAUUAGAUACCCUGGUAGUCCACGCCGUAAACGAUGAGUGCUAAGUGUUAGGGGGUUUCCGCCCCUUAGUGCUGCAGCUAACGCAUUAAGCACUCCGCCUGGGGAGUACGACCGCAAGGUUGAAACUCAAAGGAAUUGACGGGGACCCGCACAAGCGGUGGAGCAUGUGGUUUAAUUCGAAGCAACGCGAAGAACCUUACCAAAUCUUGACAUCCUUUGACGACUCUAGAGAUAGAGCUUUCCCCUUCGGGGGACAAAGUGACAGGUGGUGCAUGGUUGUCGUCAGCUCGUGUCGUGAGAUGUUGGGUUAAGUCCCGCAACGAGCGCAACCCUUAAGCUUAGUUGCCAUCAUUAAGUUGGGCACUCUAAGUUGACUGCCGGUGACAAACCGGAGGAAGGUGGGGAUGACGUCAAAUCAUCAUGCCCCUUAUGAUUUGGGCUACACACGUGCUACAAUGGACAAUACAAAGGGCAGCGAAACCGCGAGGUCAAGCAAAUCCCAUAAAGUUGUUCUCAGUUCGGAUUGUAGUCUGCAACUCGACUACAUGAAGCUGGAAUCGCUAGUAAUCGUAGAUCAGCAUGCUACGGUGAAUACGUUCCCGGGUCU